GUGCAUCAGUCGCGAAACCUUCGCAAUGCACGAAAGUGCGACGAGGCUACUCCGAGUGCCAUCCGCCGAGGAUGGCUUUUGCCAGGUCUAAACCGCCUGGAGAAUAAGGGGAGGGCACGUCUGGUGUCAGCCGCCGCGGUAAUACCAGCUCCUCGAGUGGUCGGGACGAUUAUUGGGCCUAAAGCAUCCGUAGCCGGUUCUGUAGGUCUCCUGUCAAAUUCAACGGCUCAACCGUUGAGCUGCAGGAGAUACCGCAGGGCUAGGAGGCGGGAGAGGUGGACGGUACUCUAUGGGUAGGGGUAAAAUCUUCUGAUCCAUGGAGGACCACCAGUGGCGAAGGCGGUCCGCCAGAACGCGCCCGACGGUCAGGGACGAAGCCCAGGGGCGCAAACGGGAUUAGAUACCCGCGUAGUCC
rnacentral:rRNA from 1 species